AGAUGCAUUUGAAAUGUGCAAGAACAAAUCCUUGAAGCAAAUUUAUAAAAUGAUAUCAACAGAUUUCCUUCUUGGAAAUUAUUUCUUAUAUGACUAAGUAACUGAGUAGUUUCAGACUACCGAUUCAGAAGACAGUCAUCCUUAAACCUUCUACUCUUGAUUAUAUUCAGAACCAGAAUGGAAGCUGAUUUGGAAAAUGCAGCAUUACUGGUGCGCUCUGGACAGUGCAGAAAGGCUCAUGAGGGGAAGUUGGAACUGAUGAUGACUAAACAACUCCUUUGUUUCUCAGGCACAGUUACUAAAUAAGUCACAAUCACUAUAGGAAAUAGAUACUAGAAGUGUCCCCAUUUUACAUAUGAGGAGACUGAGGCAAAACAAGCUUGCCUCACUGAUAAAUAUCAUUCAACUGAAAGGAGGCAAAUCUUAAUUAGAAUAUUAGACACGUUGGAUCUACAGUUUGCUGACUAUCUACUCAAGAUGCCUCAUGUGAGACUGAUUUAUUUCACUUAUGAGUUUGG